rnacentral:rRNA from 1 species
UACGUAGGGUCGAGCGUUGUCCGGAAUUAUUGGGCGUAAAGGGCUCGUAGGCGGUUUGUCGCGUCGGGAGUGAAAACUCAGGGCUCAACCCUGAGCGUGCUUCCGAUACGGGCAGACUAGAGGUAUGCAGGGGAGACUGGAAUUCCUGGUGUAGCGGUGAAAUGCGCAGAUAUCAGGAGGAACACCGGUGGCGAAGGCGGGUCUCUGGGCAAUAACUGACGCUGAGGAGCGAAAGCGUGGGGAGCGAACAGG